rnacentral:lncRNA from 1 species
CGUGAUGUUGACUAAAAGAAAAUGUGCUUCCUAAAAUUAAAUUCAUCACCGUGCUUUUGUUUUCAAAGAAAGAAAAUGCAUUGCCCCUUUUUUUUAAAAAAAAUAAAAAUAAAAAUAAAAUAACAUCACCGUCUCUUCCUUUGUAGGACGUCACCCAUGCACUUUUGCUCUCCAUCCACCACCGCCGUGAAUCCACCUCUUGAUCCAAGAAAAUAAAUGCCCCUUUUUUUUCAAAUAAAAAUCACCUAACAGCUAAAUGAAUUAAAUGCACUUCUAAGAUUUUCCCUUAAUAAAUAAGCAUGUUUUUUCCAAAGUAAAUAAAAGUAAAUCCCAUGUGUGCUUCUCCCAACCGUGAGACCUCAACCUUCCAGCCAAAAACAAUGCAGC